UGGGGAAUAUUGGACAAUGGGCGCAAGCCUGAUCCAGCCAUGCCGCGUGUGUGAAGAAGGCCUUUUGGUUGUAAAGCACUUUAAGCGAGGAGGAGGCUACUUGGAUUAAUACUCUAGGAUAGUGGACGUUACUCGCAGAAUAAGCACCGGCUAACUCUGUGCCAGCAGACGCGGUAAUACAGAGGGUGCGAGCGUUAAUCGGAUUUACUGGGCGUAAAGCGUGCGUAGGCGGCUUCUUAAGUCGGAUGUUAAAUCCCUUGGCUUAGCUUAGGAAUUGCAUUCGAUACUGGGAAGCUAGAGUAUGGGAGAGGAUGGUAGAAUUCCAGGUGUAGCGGUAAAAUGCGUGGAGAUCUGGAGGAAUACCGAUGGCGAAGGCAGCCAUCUGGCCUAAUACUGACGCUGAGGUACGAAAGCAUGGGGAGCAAACAGG
rnacentral:rRNA from 1 species